CAUGGUGACUUAAAACAAACAGAUUUUGAAGUCAGCUACCUGGAGGGCCUUGGCCUAGGCAAAUUUUAAACUGGGGCUUUGAAUGAGGGCAUGACUCACCCAUCUUCCACGUGCUGGUGUAAAUGUGGCCUCUCCAUGGUGUGGAGAUAAAGGGAGUCAGCUGUCUUAAUCUGGCAUGCUUGUAUGCUCAGAUACUUAAAUAUGUGAACUUUGCCCUUUGUGCAAAUCUACAAAGAAAUUAAUAGCAAUCAUAUUCAUUUUUCAAUGACAAAACAAAAUUAGGCCAUAAGACCCCCCAUCGCAAAGAGGGUCCUGCCC
rnacentral:lncRNA from 10 species